GUCUAGUCUAGUAAGUUUGAGGUUGGAUUUUGGAGAAUUUAUUGUUUGUCAAUUUCAAUUGUCAAAUUGUCAUACAAAUUUGUAUUUUAGGAGAUGGGUGCACCCUCCUUCAGAAGGCGCUGAAAGGAAUACUAAUUAUAGGCCGCUGUAGGCCUACUCCGUAAAAGAACUUAAGGAAGAGCACAUAGUGAGAUAAGUGAAGAAAGAUGUAGCCCCACCUCUGGACAAAAAUAUUAUGGAGAAGGUUGGCCGCUGUACAGGGCAGCUAUAGUUAUUAUUAUAUGUUGCCUUUUAUUGUUAUGUACUGUUUUUAUACUUUACCA